AUUAACUUCAUAAAUUAAAAAGUACAAAAAAGAUACGGCGUUAGACAGACUUUUGCUUAACAAUCAACAUACAACAACAAUAAUUGAGGAGCUUUCUAAAAAGAGAAAGGACAAAGUUUUCUGGAAGCCAUGGUAAUUAUCGAUUCAAACGUAGCUAAUAUGAAAAAACUCAGGUAAAACGUCUAGCAUCAUUUAUUUGUUGGACGCUAGUUAUUAGGCUGUGGAUUUUUGUGCAUUAAUGGGAAAUUUAAAGAAAUGCUUAAGAUGCACAUAAUAUACGUAUAUGAUAUAGAACAGUCAAAGUACAAUACUGAUGAUAUUUAGAUGAAUCAAAUAUCUGCCUAGAUCCCACUUCUUUAGCUAUAUUUAUAAAAAAUAUGAAUUUGCAUAAAUAUCCACAGUCUACUAAUUAUAUACGCGAAUAACGAAAUCGUGAAAUUUAGGAAAAUGUGUAUUUGACAAAUGUAGCUUCUUUGAAGGCUCAAAUAUUACGACAGAAUCACAUCGGACCAUGGUUUACGAUAUUCUCUACUCUAAAUAGCUUGUUGAACUCAAUGUGUCAUGACCUGGUGACGUCUUCGAAGCUUCGUCGACUUUCCUCAAGAGCCAGAGCUAUUUCUUUGGCUUUCGAUUGAGUGGCUUCCAACGACGACAGAAGUCCACCCUGGGAUCCUUCAGAUUCUUGAAGAAGAUCUUGACCUCUUGCGGUGGCCAGCUGCGCCAACAGAUCUAAUCUCGCGGUGUCCCGUUCCCCUGAUAAUUUUUCCUCGCGUUCCAGCGCUUCCUUUCGCUGCGUCGCCAGUUCCGGAGUCUCCUUCAACAGAACCUAACCAACCGGGCUAAGGUAAUUAAUCUUUUGCACCAAUAUUUUACUUUCCACGGAUUUUCAACGACCAUCGAACAAGUUUUCCAAUUUCGUUGUGGAGCCACGCGAAGCGAGUUAUCGUCUGGACAAAUCUUUUUCAAUUUUACGGAUGGACGAAAAAGAGCAGACAUUCUCUUUGACGAGAGUGAGCAGAAUAGAGAUGCUACUUUCUGAGCAACGUAGUCAUAGAAAAUGUACUUCGUAAUUGGAAUAAUUUUUUAAUUCUGCAGCUACGAUAAUACGAUGCCAUAUGGAAUCUUCGAACACGUAACAUUAAAUUAAACGGAAUACUAUGUUGGUAAACGA